UGCCCAGCAACUCCUAUCCCUACCUCCUCGUGGUACAGGCCGGGGUACGAGUAACCUUGGGGAAGA
rnacentral:ribozyme from 1 species